rnacentral:lncRNA from 1 species
GUGGGAGGUCACCACCGCCAUCAUUGGACUCAGCGUGGCUUGAACUUUCAGUUCUGAGCUUCCCGUCGCCGUCGAUUGAAUUCCGGUGACCGUUGACCGGCAAGGGUAUUUCGGUAAUUUCACAGUAUAAGGGCAAUUUUGUAAUUUCAGAUUUUGUGGGUAUUUUAGUAAUUGCUGAAAUUGAGGAUAAAGUUGGUAAUUUAUGAUUUUGAGGUUAAUUUGGUAAUUUUGAUAUGAGGGUAUUUUGGUAAUAUUGAAUUCAAGGGCAUUUUGGUAAUUUUGAUAUUUGAGGGUAAUUUCGUAAUUUCAAGAAUUAUGAGUAUUUUGAUGAUUUAUGAUUUAAAUUAAGAUUAUUUGAGGUUACGUAUGGAAUGUGAUUAUAUUGAGGAAUUUGAGAAUAUUGGAGUUUAUGAUUAUGGUUUAAUUUUAUUCUUAUGAGAGUAUUUUUAUUGGUUUUUAAGCCGAUGAUAUCGAUGUGCAUUUGUUACUCGAGGAUACCAGGAGGUAAGUAAAUUAGAUUUCCAAACGAAUCACAAUAAACAAUAUAUAUGUUUGACAUGUUUGAAAAGUCUAUUUUGAUAUAUAUACGUAUAUUGAUUAUAUGCUUUGCCCAUGUAUUUAUGUGAUGUGUUGGUAAGAUGUGUUGUUAUGUGUUAUGUGUAUUUAUGGACAUGGGCAUAUGUAUGUGUGAAUAUUUUAUUGGCAUGAGCACGAAAAUGCAUUAUGUUUUCUGUAAAAUGAGAAAGUUGAUUUUAGCAAACGAAAUUUGAAGAAAGAAAGAUUGUUUUACAGUUUUAGCUUGGAUGCUUAAAUUCGUUACUGGCUUAGUGGAGGAUACUCUAGAUGUUUAUAUAGUUAUGAGAUAAGUGGGCGAAGGACGCAUUGGCAAGAAGCCCAAAGAGUAUGAAAGUUA